rnacentral:snoRNA from 1 species
GCAACUUAUACCCAUUGGUUGGUCAAAUUAUUAUUUUUUGAGACAAUUAAGAUUUAAAGUUGCCAAAUCAAAUAACGAAGUUUACCAUGUAAAUGUCUCCAAUUAUCAUUUACAAAAACAGAAGCGUUACAGA